rnacentral:lncRNA from 1 species
CCAGGACCAAGCCCUCACAGAGGUGGCUACUCCUCCAGACCCCACCUGCCCCAACAGCUGGAGGGCGAAGCUGCUGCAGGCAUGGGAGGCAGAGGAAUGGUGGAGGAGCUGGGGUGCUGGGCGUGCAGUAGUGCUUGACUGGAAACCGGACGAAGCUGCAGAUGGGAGAGGCACUGCUUGAACACUCCUGCCGCAUCCAUCACUCCGGGCACCUCCUGCAGUGCACACGGUCUCACUUUGAUUUUAAUCCCACCAAUAGCAGGAAGGAGGUAUGAGCCUCAUCUGCAGCUCAGGAUGAUUAGGGGACAAGUCUGGGGUCAUGUGCUGGUAAGGGAAAGAAUGUGGACUCAAUCUCACGUGGCCUGGCUCCAAAACCCGUCCAUUUGCUAAUUUAGUUUAAACCACCGGUUUUUUAACUUAAAAAUUUUGUUUCUGAACGUUGAAAAUGAAUAUAAAAUUCAAUGUGCUUCUCUGUACUCUCUUAGCAACUUCCUG